CGGUUCGNCCGGGUUUCACACAGGUGUUGCAUGGCUGUCGUCANGNCUCGNUGUCGUGAGAUGUUGGGUUAAGUCCCGCAACGAGCGCAACCCUCAUCCUUAGUUACCAUCAGGUAAUGCUGGGGACUUUAAGGAAACUGCCAGUGAUAAACUGGAGGAAGGUGGGGAUGAUGUCAAGUCAUCAUGGCCCUUAUGGAGUGGGCUACACACGUGCUACAAUGGUGGCUACAAUGGGCUGCAAAGUCGCGAGGCUAAGCUAAUCCCUUAAAAGCCAUCUCAGUUCGGAUUGUACUCUGCAACUCGAGUGCAUGAAGUUGGAAUCGCUAGUAAUCGUGGAUCAGCACGCCACGGUGAAUACUUUCUCGGGUCUUGUACACAC
rnacentral:rRNA from 2 species